rnacentral:rRNA from 1 species
GGGUGAGUAACACGUGGAUAACCUACCUAUAAGACUGGGAUAACUUCGGGAAACCGGAGCUAAUACCGGAUAAUAUAUUGAACCGCAUGGUUCAAUAGUGAAAGACGGUUUUGCUGUCACUCAUAGAUGGAUCCGCGCCGCAUUAGCUAGUUGGUAAGGUAACGGCUUACCAAGGCAACGAUGCGUAGCCGACCUGAGAGGGUGAUCGGCCACACUGGAACUGAGACACGGUCCAG